rnacentral:rRNA from 1 species
GACGAACGCUGGCGGCGUGCUUAACACAUGCAAGUCGAACGCAGUGGCGAACGGGUGAGUAACGCGUAAUCAACCUGCUCUUCAGCGGGGGACAACAGUUGGAAACGACUGCUAAUACCGCAUACUGAAGGAGGGGAGUGCGUCUGUUUAGCUAGUUGGAGGGGUAACGGCCCACCAAGGCGAAGAUCAGUAGCCGGUCUGGGAGGGUGGACGGCCACAUUGGGGAUUGGGCACGGCCCAGACUCCUUCGGGGAGCAGCAGUGGGGAAUCUUCCGCAAUGGACGGAAAGCUGACGGAGCAACGCCGCGUGAGUGGUGACGGCCUUCGGGUUGUAAAGCUCUGUUAAUCGGGACGCGGUACCGGAAUAGAAAGCCACGGCUAACUACGUGCCAGCAGCCGCGGUAAUUC